rnacentral:rRNA from 1 species
AUUGAACGCUGGCGGCAUGCCUUACACAUGCAAGUCGAACGGCAGCACGGGUGCUUGCACCUGGUGGCGAGUGGCGAACGGGUGAGUAAUACAUCGGAACAUGUCCUGUAGUGGGGGAUAGCCCGGCGAAAGCCGGAUUAAUACCGCAUACGAUCUACGGAUGAAAGCGGGGGACCUUCGGGCCUCGCGCUAUAGGGUUGGCCGAUGGCUGAUUAGCUAGUUGGGGGGGUAAAGGCCUACCAAGGCGACGAUCAGUAGCUGGUCUGAGAGGCAGACCCGCCAAACUGGGACUGGGCACCGGCCCAGACUCCUACGGGAGGCAGCAGUGGGGAAUUUUUGACAAUGGGCGAAAGCCUGAUCCAGCAAUGCCGGGUGUGUGAAGGAGGCCUUCGGGUUGUAAAGCACUUUUGUCCGGAAAGAAAUCCUUGGCCCUAAUACGGUCGGGGGAUGACGGUACCGGAAGAAUAAGCACCGGCUAACUACGUG